GACGAACGCUGGCGGCGUGCUUAACACAUGCCAGUCGAACGGAAAGGCCCUGCUUUUGUGGGGUGCUCGAGUGGCGAACGGGUGAGUAACACGUGAGUAACCUGCCCUUGACUUUGGGAUAACUUCAGGAAACUGGGGCUAAUACCGGAUAGGAGCUCCUGCUGCAUGGUGGGGGUUGGAAAGUUUCGGCGGUUGGGGAUGGACUCGCGGCUUAUCAGCUUGUUGGUGGGGUAGUGGCUUACCAAGGCUUUGACGGGUAGCCGGCCUGAGAGGGUGACCGGCCAGAGUGGGAUUGAAGUACGGCACAGACUCCUAGGGGAGGCAGCAGUGGGGAAGAGUGCACAAUGCGCGGAAGCGUGAUGCAGCCCCGCCGCGUGCGGGAUGACGGCAUUAGGGUGGUAAACCGCUUUCGCCUGUGACGAAGCGUGAGUGACGGUAAUGGGUAAAGAAGCAACGGCUAAGUACGUG
rnacentral:rRNA from 1 species